ACUCCUACGGGAGGCAGCAGUGGGGAAUAUUGCACAAUGGGCGCAAGCCUGAUGCAGCCAUGCCGCGUGUGUGAAGAAGGCCUUCGGGUUGUAAAGCACUUUCAGUCGUGAGGAAGGUGGUAGUGUUAAUAGCACUAUCAUUUGUACGUUAGCGACAGAAGAAGCACCGGCUAACUCCGUGCCAGCAGCCGCGGUAAGUACGGAGGGUGCGAGCGUUAAUCGGAAUUACUGGGCGUAAAGCGCAUGCAGGUGGUUUGUUAAGUUCAGAUGUGAAAGCCCGGGGCUCAACCUCGGAAUAGCAUUUGAAACUGGCAGACUAGAGUACUGUAGAGGGGGUUAGGAAUUUCGAGGUGUAGCGGUGAAAUGCGUAGAGAUCUGAAGGUAAUACCGGUGGCGAAGGCGGCCCCUGGACAGAUACUGACACUCAGAUGCGAAAGGCGU
rnacentral:rRNA from 1 species